ensembl:lncRNA
CGCACCCUGCCGUAGCAAAACCGAUGGUUCAAUGCGCGGAGAGAAAACGCUUCCUCCGUUUUCAUGAUGUCUGUAUUUGCUGUUUGAAGUAGUAGAGAAUGUAGGCUAUUAAAUGCUACUCAUUGGGUUGCCCUAUAGCUCGCUAUUACAGCCGAGUUGCAUCACGAAGUUUGCUUACCGGCUCUGCUGUCAAUCAUUUUUUUCUGGCUUCACGCGACGACCAAUAAACGCUGCUGCUUGUCCUUCAGCUGAAUUUGAGACUUGGUGGAACUCACAGCAUGAAAAUAUUCAUGAAAUACACACCGAUAAGAAAUAACCUCAAAACUAACAACAGACUUACUGCUUACAAGGUAAAGGCGUUAUUAUUUUUAUUAUCAAAGGUCACAUUUCAU